rnacentral:sRNA from 1 species
AGAGAGAGAGAAGAAGAAGAUGAAGAAGAAGUUGGAGUGAAUUGCAAGAA